rnacentral:rRNA from 1 species
AGAAUCAACGCUGGCGGCGUGCCUAACACAUGCAAGUCGAACGAGAAAGUGGAGCAAUCCAUGAGUAAAGUGGCGCACGGGUGAGUAACACGUGACUAACCCACCCUUGAGUGGGGGAUAACCUAGAGAAAUCUGGGCUAAUACCGCAUAAUACCUUCGGGUCAAAGGAGCAAUUCGCUUAAGGAGGGGGUCGCGGCCGAUUAGUUAGUUGGCGGGGUAAUGGCCCACCAAGACUGUGAUCGGUA